rnacentral:rRNA from 1 species
UACGGAGGGUGCAAGCGUUGUCCGGAUUUAUUGGGUUUAAAGGGUCCGUAGGCGGUUUGGUAAGUCAGUGGUGAAAGCCCAUCGCUCAACGGUGGAACGGCCAUUGAUACUGCCAGACUUGAAUUAUUAGGAAGUAACUAGAAUAUGUAGUGUAGCGGUGAAAUGCUUAGAGAUUACAUGGAAUACCAAUUGCGAAGGCAGGUUACUACUAAUGGAUUGACGCUGAUGGACGAAAGCGCGGGUAGCGAGCAGG